CCGCAUGUACCCCGUGCCGGCUCGCCAAUUCAGGGACAGGGGGUUGGCCCGUGCUCUCACGGAUGGUGGCGUUGAAGAGACAACACGGAUAUGCACUCAAACCUUUGGCAACCCUCUAUCGGAAUAUAUCUGUCGCAAACUCUGUGCCACGAAAUUUGAAUGUUAUGGCCAGGUCACUCCUGCAAGUGAGACUAUCCUUGUCGCUGUAGUUGUCACCCGGUGAAAUAAUAUACACAUUAAACGCAUUUAAGCUGCGACUGUGGUCACCCAGAACAGACCACGGGACGUAGAACGACUCAGUGCCCGAGAUUCACAAACACGAAGGAGGAGGCGCCAUCAACAGCGAUGAUUCAACCACCCCGCCACUCCUGACGCAAUUAUUUGGCUGAACCACCUCAAGCGCAAGAUUACAGCUGUCUCCCUACGUGAAUAUCAGCCACGGGAAGAUGAUUACACUCCUGAACUCUCGUCACCUCUGGAAUUAUGAACCGAAAAUUUCCGCAACGCUUGCGCUGCUGUGACACGCGCGCAUUUUGCCGGGGGGGGGGGGGGUUAUCUGGGAGGACACAUACCGUUGGAAGACACAAGUCUUGACUAAUCUCUCCAGCCAAUUUGGUAACACUGUGCGCUUUGUCUGGGUCUCUACGAGUCCUCAGCUCGCGGGUGGUGGGACGGGACACGGCGCUGGACAGAUUUCUCUCCUGUCCACCUUGGCAACGAGAAAGAUCGCGUCCGAGGCUUCACCGCCAUGAGCUACGACUUUUCGGGACUUCCCACGCUGACCAAGCUCAACCAAAUGCAGGCAACCUCCGUGCAUCGCGAUGGGUGACAUGGAGCAAUGGGGAACCCCAGGCCGUGAUCACAGCAGUGGCCUUGGAACGUGGUCAGCAUGGGCCCUCGUACAUAGAAUGGUGGGGGGGGGGGACCUUCGAUCCAAUUGCCCCCCCUACACUCUCAGCCCGGUGCAGUUGCACCGCCUGCGCUCUCCGAGAGCCACGCCGCCGGGGUGCUGCCACCUCGGGCCGGUGCAGUUCCCCCCUUAAAUUUCGAUUUAAAGCUUUCGUGACUGCAAGGACUCAUCUUCUUUGGUUCUUUCGGUAAAGUCACGUACCGAAAGAACCAAAGAAGAUGAGUUCCCCCCUUGUCAUGCGCGCGGCAAACGGCGCGGAGAGGACGCCGCCGACAACCCUUCGCCGCCACAGAGUGCCCACACUCUUCUUGGGAUUGUAUUAUGGGGUUGGUAUUGUGGUCGGGAUUGACAUUGUAAGGAAGAAUUGAUAUUGAGAUAUGGGUUGAUAUUUUCAAAUGGGUCUAGACAGCCAAGAGGAUUGUCUAAAUCAGUGGUUGCUCAACCUAGUUUGGCUACUGUACCCCCUUGUUGAAUGUUGUUCCAACCGAGUGUCCCCUCUUGCCUGACCCAACAUGGUUCUGAAAAAAAAAAUCAAUAUAUGAGUGAUGAACAUCAGUGUGUUAAUCAAUUGUCCGUUUUGUGAGGUAUCCUAACUAGCGAGCAACUGCAAGCAAAUAGAAAAAAAAAUGCAACGGGCCCUCUGCGUGCGUGAGGCGAAUUGUUCGCGAUCGAUGGUUGCUCUUGGAAACCAACAUUGUUUACAAUCAAUGAGUUUAGAAAGGUCUUUGAUGUCCGUUUAACACGUAGGCUUUCGCGACCAAUAUCAUCGAUAAAAGUUGUUUUGGG